CUCGCCACACAUUCCACUGAAGUGCACCCUGUAACACAAGGCAUGACAAGAUUUACAAGAAUGAGAAUAUCACAAAACAAAACUAGUGUAAUACAUUUUAGUAGGCUUGUUUUGUUAAAAUCAAAUCGAAAUGCCUCAUUGCAGGGGAGAAGAGGAAAAAAAAAAAGAUAGCGACAUGAGUGUUGGAAUUGUGUGACUUCUGUGGACUUUGAAAGCCACGGCAUGGCGCUCUGGUAACCACAACAAUCUACCAGAAUGUUUUUGAGGACUUCAUGAUUCCUUCUGCUGAGGAUCUGUAUGGAGAUGCAGAUUUCCUCUUCCAGCAGGACCUGGCCUCUGCCCAUACUGCCAGAAGCACCAAAACCCGCUUUGAUGCCCAAGCCAUCACAGUGCUUGACUGGCCAGCCAACUCGCCGGUUCUAAGCCCCAUUGAGAAUCUAUGGGGUAUCAUCAAGAGGAAAAU